rnacentral:rRNA from 1 species
UAGGGAAGUCUUCGGCAAUGGACGGAAAGUCUGACCGAGCAACGCCGCGUGAGUGAAGAAGGUUUUCGGAUCGUAAAACUCUGUUGGUAGAGAAGAACGUUGGUGAGAGUGGAAAGCUCAUCAAGUGACGGUAACUACCCAGAAAGGGACGGCUAACUACGUGCCG